AGUUAGUCUAUUACAGUGCCUUCCAUAGUCUCCUUCUCCAUAGAGUUAGUUCUCUGGCCACUUUGCGGAAAGAUAAGGUGGAGUAAAACGUGCGGUGGAGGUCACAUGGUGUUUGUGCAAAUCGCUUGGGUCUACAGGGCACCAGAGUGGGGCUAAAGUGCGAAUGAGGUGGAACACUCAGGAACAGCCUGUCAGAACAAGCAUGAUUUAAAGCAGCUGCCCUGGAGAGUGUGUCAUUUUUUAUAGCAAUAAAAGCAGUAAUGAUGGACUUUAUAUUGCAGUCACAAGCUACCAUUACUAUGUCAGGCAGUGUUAUCAGUAGGAUGAAUGGCUGUUAACUUCAUGUGGAGAGAGAAAAAUGUAUGGAGCUGUAGAUACAUCCAGAUUCUGGGGCAGACAGGAAUGGCUUGUCGGGAUCUUGGAAGAAGCAAAACUGGAAGAUUGUCCUGAUUGAAUCUGACUAUUUCUCAAUACUGUCAACUCUGCCAAAAACCUCAGCAAAGAAAGUAAUUACCUUUUAAAGUAUUUCUCCCACUCUGAUCCUUGUUUUAAGGAAUCUGCAUCCAAAGUGGGUCUUGGACUCACAACCCUGAGAUCAAGCAUCGCAUACUCCACUGUCUGAGCCAGCCUGGUGCUCCAAAGCUCUUAUGUCUUUUAGCAGAAUGUAAUUAUUGACAGCAUUCCAUGAAAAAUUAAUUUUGUAGAGCAAGAAUAUUCAUUGAUGUUAAAAUAUCCUAUGAAUUGAUUUUAUAAUCCAUUUUCCUUUCUAACUUUGUUAUUCAGGUAUUCCCCCUGCCUUUUAAAAAAGUUUGCCUUACACCACUUCACUUUCAUUAGAGAUCUCUAUUAGUACCUGUUUUUGCUAACUGAAAGAAAUCUCAAGAGGGGUUUCACUUUUACAAAGAAGUGUGCAAAGCGAAAAUUGCAUUUAGCAUUUGUUUUCAAUGAGGGGUUAUAGAGGCAGCCUGAACCCUAACAGUGAGAGUGGCCCCACUAAGCUUCUUUCUCAGAACUAUACCCAGCAUCUUAGCAUUAAGCUGCCAUAUCUCUGAACUGUGUUUGUGAGCGUCUGUGUUUUAUCUCCAUUUAUUGUGUGCAUCCUCUAGCAAGAUGGUAUCCCAAGGUAUCAGAAAAGCCUAAGGGAUUAUUUUCAUGUCUAGAAACAUGUGGAAAAAAUAUCUGUAUAAAUUAAUGGCAAUUGCUUCUUCACUUUAUGUUAUUUCAGCUUUUAAAAGUUUUCAUAGGCAAGCUCUACUUUAAAAUACUGGGGAAACCUGUAUUUUCAAAGUGAUUCAAAGACAUGCAUUUCAGUUUCAUAGCAUAUUAACAUUAUUUUAAUGACUCUUAGCAAAAAUUUAAAUGUAAUUUUACCUACUCUGUUGUCUGUUAACAUUUAUUUGCCAUCUUCUUUCAGUUCAAAACUGAAAGAGAAUUCCUCUUCAAGUGACUUCUUAACAAGUCUUUGUCAUUAACAUAAAAAUAAAAAUUAUUUCAUCUG